CUACGGGUUGCAGCAGUGGGGAAUAUUGGACAAUGGACCAAGAGUCUGAUCCAGCAAUUCUGUGUGUUUGAUGAAGGCCUUCGGGUUGUAAAGAACUUUAAGUAGGGAAGAAGAAAGUGACGGUACCUACAGAAUAAGCGACGGCUAAAUACGUGCCAGCAGCCGCGGUAAUACGUAUGUCGCAAGCGUUAUCCGGAAUUAUUGGGCAUAAAGCGCGUCUAGGCGGUUUAUUAAGUCUGAUGUGAAAAUGCGGGGCUCAACUCCGUAUUGCGUUGGAAACUGGUAGGCUAGAGUAUUGGAGAGGUAGGCGGAGCUACAAGUGUAGAGGUGAAAUUCGUAGAUAUUUGUAGGAAUGCCAAUUGGGAAGCCAGCUUACUGGACAAAUACUGACGCUGAAGCGCGAAAGCUAGGGGAGCAAACAGGAUUAGAUACCCCGGUAGUC
rnacentral:rRNA from 1 species